rnacentral:rRNA from 1 species
UUAAGCAUAUCAAUAAGCGGAGGAAAAGAAACCAACAGGGAUUGCCCUAGUAACGGCGAGUGAAGCGGCAACAGCUCAAAUUUGAAAUCUGGCUCUUUCAGGGUCCGAGUUGUAAUUUGCAGAGGGCGCUUUGGCGUUGGCAGCGGUCCAAGUUCUUUGGAACAGGACGUCACAGAGGGUGAGAAUCCCGUACGUGGUCGCUAGCCUUCGCCGUGUAAAGCCCCUUCGACGAGUCGAGUUGUUUGGGAAUGCAGCUCUAAAUGGGAGGUAAAUUUCUUCUAAAGCUAAAUACUGGCCAGAGACCGAUAGCGCACAAGUAGAGUGAUCGAAAGAUGAAAAGCACUUUGGAAAGAGAGUCAAAUAGCACGUGAAAUUGUUGAAAGGGAAGCGCUUGCAGCCAGACUUGCCUGUAGUUGCUUAUCCGGACUUUUGUCCGGUGCACUCUUCUGCGGGCAGGCCAGCAUCAGUCUAGGCGGUUGGAUAAAGGUCUCUGUCAUGUACCUCUCUUCGGGGAGGCCUUAUAGGGGAGACGACAUGCAACCAGCCUGGACUGAGGUCCGCGCAUCUGCUAGGAUGCUGGCGUAAUGGCUGUAAGCGGCCCGUCUUGAAACACGGACCAAGGAGUCUAACAUCUAUGCGAGUGUUUGGGUGUCAAGCCCAGACGCGUAAUGAAAGUGAACGGAGGUGGGAACCCUUUGGGUGCACCAUCGACCGAUCCUGAUGUCUUCGGAUGGAUUUGAGUAAGAGCAUGGCUGUUGGGACCCGAAAGAUGGUGAACUAUGCUUGAAUAGGGUGAAGCCAGAGGAAACUCUGGUGGAGGCUCGCAGCGGUUCUGACGUGCAAAUCGAUCGUCAAAUUUGGGCAUAGGGGCGAAAGACUAAUCGAACUAUCUAGUAGCUGGUUCCUGCC